rnacentral:rRNA from 1 species
CCUACGGGAGGCAGCAGUGAGGAAUAUUGGUCAAUGGACGCAAGUCUGAACCAGCCAUGCCGCGUGCAGGAAGACGGCUCUAUGAUUUGUAAACUGCUUUUGUACGAGGGUAAACGCAGAUACGCGUAUCUGUCUGAAAGUAUCGUACGAAUAAGGAUCGGCUAACUCCGUGCCAGCAGCCGCGGUAAUACGGAGGAUUCAAGCGUUAUCCGGAUAUAUUGGGGUUAAAGGGAGCGUAGGCGGUCGGAUAAGUUAGAGGUGAAAUCCCGAGGCUCAACCUCGGAAUUGCCUCUGAUACUGGUCGGCUAGAGAGUAGUUGCGGUAGGCGGAAUGUAUGGUGUAGCGGUGAAAUGCUUAGAGAU